GCGGGCGUGGUGGAAUUGGCAGACACACCAGACUUAGGAUCUGGCGACGCAAGUCUUGGGGGUUCAAGUCCCUCCGCCCGCACCA
rnacentral:tRNA from 1 species